UUUGGUGGCAUAGGCAGUGCAUGGCCUUCGACACUUGGCGGUGGAGCAUUAUUUGGUGGUGCAGAAGGUACAUGAACUUCAAUGCUUAGUGGUGGAGGAGCAUUAUUUGGUGGCAUAGGCGGUACAUGGCCUUCAACACUUGCAGGUGGAGGAGAAUUAGUUGGUGGCAUAGAUGGUACAUGACCUUCAACAUUUGGUGGUGGAGGAGCAUUAUUUGGUGGUGCAGUAGGUGCAUGAACUUCAAUGCUUAAUGGUGGAGGAACAUUAAUUGGUGGUGUGGGCGGUACAUGACCUUCAACACUUGGUGGUGGACGAGAAUUAGCUGGUGGCAGAGAUGGUACAUGACCUUCAACACUUGGUAGUGGAGGAGCAUCUUUUGGUGGCACCGACGGUGCUUGACUUUCAACACUUGGUGGUGGAGGAGAAGCAUCUUUUGGUGGCAAAGACGGUACUUGACUUUCAACACUUGGUGGUGCAGGAGCAUUAUUUGGUGGCUCUGACGGUACAUGUUCAGUACUUGGUGGUGGAGAAGCAGUUUUUGGUGGCAUAGGCGGUACAUGGCCUUCAACACUUGGUGGUGGAGGAGAAUUAGUCGGUGGCAUAGAUCGUACAUGGCCUUCAACACUUGGUGGCGGAGGAUCAUUAUUUGGUGGUGCAGUAGGUACAUGAACUUCAAUGCUUAGUGGUGGAGGAACUUUAAUUGGUGGCGUAGGCGGUACACGACCUUCAACACUUGGUGAUGGAGGAGAAUUAGCUGGUGGCAAAGAUGGUACAUGACCUUCAACACUUGGUAGUGGAGGAGCAUCUUUUGGUGGCACCGACGGUGCUUGACUUUCAACACUUGGUGGUGGAGGAGAAGCAUCUUUUGGUCGCAAAGGCGGUACUUGACUUUCAACACUUGGUGGUGGAGGAGCAUUAUUUGGUGGCUCUGACGGUACAUGUUCAGUACUUAGUGGUGGAGAAGCAGUUUUUGGUGGCAUAGGCGGUACAUGGCCUUCAACACUUGCAGGUGGAGGAGAAUUAGUUGGUGGCAUAGAUGGUACAUGACCUUCAACACUUGGUGGCGGAGGAGCGUUAUUUGGUGGUGUAGUAGGUACAUGAACUUCAAUGCUUAGUGGUGGAGGAACAUUAAUUGGUGGCGUAGGCGGUACACGACCUUCAACACUUGGUGAUGGAGGAGAAUUAGCUGGUGGCAAAGAUGGUACAUAACCUUCAACACUUGGUAGUGG
rnacentral:lncRNA from 1 species